GGAUGAGUCACACACGAGCAAGGCUGCACGAUUCACUCAGAGCUCACAUGCAGACAGCUCUGACAAUGUCAACUGAAGAGAAGCCACCCAGGAGAGUAAAGCUUGAGUCCUGCCACCCUUUGGUGACCUCGGUGACCUGUCAAAGUCUACUUCCCAGACUUCUGAUUCUGGAAAGAUGGGGUAGAUGGGUUGUUCUUCUCUAGUUUGGACACCACUGGAUACAGACGUAAGAGCCAACACAAGCCUGCUGGCUCCAGCGCAUGCACCGUCAAAGCGGUAGCCACCCCCAAGACCAAGGUACUCUAGACAGAAACUGUUCUAUUCCAGUCAAAUAUCAAAUAAAUGGCUGAAGUCCACAAGACCAACAAUUCCAGCAAGGACCAAGGUAAUGAUACGACAGUAUGUCUACCCUUUCUAGGUUGUAACAUGGCAUCUAACCACACUUGCUCUUAGUGUGGUUCCCAAGAAACACACCAAGGGGAGUUGAGACAUCUGUACCUCUGUUAUCUAAAAAGAGGGCAAGUCUCCAGCACUCUGAGUUCCCACAACAAGAAUCUAUGAAGACAAAAGAAAAAAAUAACCUGAGGAAACUGAAGAAAGAAAACAGUAUAGAUAAGAACGUAACACUGAAAACUUAAAAGCAAUAGAGAAAAUCGGGCUCUCAGAGAGGAUCAACAAAGUGGGCAGACGUCUAGCAGGACUGACAGAAGUCGGAAGACACUGACCAGCAACAUCAAAGAUAGAGUGGACACCACUCUAGAGCUCAGACAUGAAGAGGACAAGAGGAGUCACUUCACAACACCCCACUCAUCCAGAAUGUCAGGCAUCUAACCAAAAAGGCAUUUCUACUGUGUGUUCGAGGCUAGCUCAUUAUGUGAAAAUCCAUCAGCAUUAUCCACAUCAAAAAUUAAAGAACAACUACAUAGUCAUUUAAAUUUAUUUGUGUGUGUGUGUGUGUGUGUAUGUGUGUGUAGACAGACAAACACAUACACAUGAACACAUGCAUACAUACAUGCACAUGCCCACAUAAGCCAGAAGGCAGCACUAGAUUCUCUAGAACUGGAGUUACAGGCUGUUAGGAGCCAUCUGAUGUGUGUGCCGGAAUAUCAGGAGGGAUAUAGCAUGUUCUUAAUUGGACAAUUUGACUUAAUAAGAGAUAUGGUUCUAAGUCCCUAAAGCCAGCUUAGAAAACCAUGCCUGUGGGCUUCCCACGGCUCCCUCCCUGCUCCUCCCCUUCAGGGAUGCUCCCAUGGCUUUCUUGGGAGUCUGAGAAUUCUCUUUUCCAUCUCUGUAUCUAAUUGCCCGUGCCCCACCACAUCAGGUGUCGAGAUAUCUGAGAUAACGAUAUCAGCACGUUGUUAUCAGGUCAGAGGUCACCAUGUCAGGGGUCACCAAGCUCCUGAGGGGGAGGGCACUAUGGAAACCAUUUCCAAGGACAUAACAGAAAAGAGAGAUGCUCUGUAGGAGACGGAGGAUUUUUUUCCCCUUAGAAGUACUUUAAAAGGAAAAUUUUGUGUUUUUAUUUACAUUUUAUAUUUUGUGCAUAUUAUUAGGAUUUAUGUGUUCGCUGACUCUCACAGAGCUUCAGGCAUUUUUAAAAAUGAUGUUGGGUGAUCAAACAUGCCUCGGAACACCAUGACCUCACUUUUUCAUGUACUUCACUGUACUAUCGGGCAGGUAGCAUCCCAAGAUUGCUAAGAGGGGCCAAGGAGGAUGCAAGAGUGCUUUGUAUUUCUUUCUCUUUUUUUGUCUAUGAUGUUUGAUGGAUGUGUGAAAUAAUGUCCAGCAUUAAACAAGACUUUUUAUUUU
ensembl:lincRNA